ACUCUGAGAGAGAGUUAAAGGAGGACGUGAAACCGCUGGGAUGGAAACGAAUAGAGUUGACGAAACCAACCGUCAUUCAACCGAUCAGCUCAGCGGUCUCUUUGCUCUUGUGUACCUUGAUUUCACAUGCAUAUCUCUCUUUCAUGUGAGCUAUGUAAUGUAUCAAUGGACAUGUGCAAGAGGUGCUGUUGAGUAGUUUUCAAAUAUGCCUGUGUGAUCGGUGCAUUUGAUGGUGGUACGCGCCGAGAGCCGUGUUCAUGUACGACAAAGCUUUUGGUAGUGGAUCGAGUGAUUUAAUUGCAUUCGAAAACCUACCUAAGUGGAUGAUGCGUAUCAUGUUUGUGAUACGGUUGCAAUUGCAAUUCCCGCCAACAUUUGUUGGUGCGUUACAUAUUUGCAAAAUUCAAAUUCACAUCAAAUGAUCGCUUGCGUAUCGUUGGUGUUUGCAUUAUUUGAGUUAUGUUUGAUAUGGUUUGACGCGUGGUAAUUGCAUCUCGGUGUGAGCGUCGAUCACCUAUUCGACCCGUCUUGAAACA
rnacentral:rRNA from 1 species